UACGUAUGGAGCAAGCGUUAUCCGGAUUUACUGGGUGUAAAGGGAGUGUAGGUGGCCAGGCAAGUCAGAAGUGAAAGCCCGGGGCUCAACCCCGGGACUGCUUUUGAAACUGCAGGGCUAGAGUGCAGGAGGGGCAAGUGGAAUUCCUAGUGUAGCGGUGAAAUGCGUAGAUAUUAGGAGGAACACCAGUGGCGAAGGCGGCUUGCUGGACUGUAACUGACACUGAGGCUCGAAAGCGUGGGGAGCAAACAGGAUUAGAUACCCUGGUAGUCUACU
rnacentral:rRNA from 1 species